rnacentral:rRNA from 1 species
AGAGUUUGAUCAUGGCUCAGAACGAACGCUGGCGGCAGGCCUAACACAUGCAAGUCGAGCGCCCCGCAAGGGGAGCGGCGGACGGGUGAGUAACACGUGGGAAUUUUCCUCAAGGUACGGAACAACUCAGGGAAACUUGGGCUAAUACCGUAUGAUGCAGAGAUGCCAAAGAUUUAUCGCCUUGGGAUAAGCCCGCGUCAGAUUAGGUAGUUGGUGGGGUAAUGGCCUACCAAGCCUGUGAUCUGUAGCUGGUCUGAGGGGACGAUCAGCCACAUUGGGACUGAGACACGGCCCAAACUCCUACGGGAGGCAGCAGUGGGGAAUCUUGCGCAAUGGGCGAAAGCCUGACGCAGCCAUGCCGCGUGAAUGAUGAAGGUCUUAGGAUUGUAAAGUUCUUUCGCCCGUGACGAUGAUGACGGUAACGGGAGAAGAAGCCCCGGCUAACUUCGUGCCAGCAGCCGCGGUAAUACGAAGGGGGCUAGCGUUGUUCGGAAUUACUGGGCGUAAAGCGCGCGUAGGCGGUUUUGCAAGCCAGAGGUGAAAUGCCCGAGCUCAACUUGGGAAUUGCCUUUGGGACUGUGAGGCUUUGAGGACGAGAGAGGUGAGUGGAAUUCCCAGUGUAGAGGUGAAAUUCGUAGAUAUUGGGAAGAACACCGGUGGCGAAGGCGGCUCACUGGCUCGUUUCUGACGCUAAAGCGCGAAAGCGUGGGGAUCAAACAGGAUUAGAUACCCUGGUAGUCCACGCUGUAAACGAUGGGUGCUAGGCGUCGGCAGGCUUGCCUGUCGGUGCCGCAGCUAAC